GGGGAUUUAGCUCAGUGGUAGAGCGCUUGCCUAGGAAGCUCAAGGCCCUGGGUUCGGUUCCCCAGCUUAAGGGCACUGACUGCUCUUCCAGAGUUCCUG
rnacentral:tRNA from 1 species